AAUAAUGUAGCUGUAUGUGUUAUUGAGUAAAUACCGAAUGCCUAUUAAAUGGAGAGGGACAUCAACUUGGCAUGGCACUUUUUAAAACCUAAAUUUUUUGUUUCUGUGAUAUAUAAUGGUUUAGAGUUAAAAGUGUGGUUGCAUGAAAAUUCAUAUGUUCAAUGGAAUCAAUAUUUGCAUUUUAUGAGUUAAGUUCUUGUAUCCAUUUUAUAGACAACUUUUUUUCAUAAUAAAGUUACUUUAAUUUAUUAGGUAAUGCCAUCUUUUAUUUGCAAUGAUAUUAGUAUUGUAACAAUCUUGCUUCUGAUAAAUAUUUGGGGAAGAGUACAAGUACCAACAUCAAGGGAGCAACCACAAACAUCAACAAGAUCAAGGGGCCGAAAGGCCACAAUCUUUAUAACUUUUAAGCUUUGCUUUUUUGUUUUUGGUUUGGUUAACUUAAUUAUUGAAACUUUGGCUCGUAACUAAUUAUUUAUUUAUUUUGGGUUUGUUACUUUAUUUAUUUUAAAACUUGGCUUGUAAACUAUUAUUUUCGCUUUGGAUUUGAUACUUAAUUCAUUUUAUUCAUGCAAUGUGUAAGGUAAAAUUGGUAGGCAACCAUGUCACAGAUAGGUAGUUAUAUUUGGUAUUACUAUGAAUCUAUGUAUUUGUGUAUAAUAUAGAAAACAAUCCUUGCCAUUUGAUUUCAAAUUAGUAGAUCAAUUGGCAAAUUCCCAAAAGGCCCAUUAUGAAAUUAAUUCCAAAAGCUGGGAAAACCAUUUAAGGAUUCCUGUUGUCCCGAAUCAAAUAUUCCAUCCCAACUUAAUUCUCGAAAAUUACUUUGAGAUCGGUAUUAAAUUGGGUUCUGAAUAUUCGGUUACGGAAAUCGGAAGCAAGAGUUUCGGUAUGGGAUUCCAAUACCAAACCACCCAUAUAGAUUGGGUUGUAGUAAUUGUUUUGAGAUACAGAAAAUGCAUCUUUCUUCUCCCUCUAAACUCUCUUGUGUUCUUCAUUUUCAAUGGGAGUUUUCAACGAAAGGGCUUGUAUAUUCCAUCUUAACCAUGGCAUUUUUAAUGUAUAAAGUCUAUAAUAGAUCACAACUCUUCUUCUUUAUUUAUCUUAUGCCAUUACAUGCCCGACCACAACAGUUGACAUUUCCUGUCUGGAAAUACAUUAUGAUGUUAUUCAUCUAUGCUAAUUUACAGCUUAGUUCUUCAGGCUUCCAUCAUGUAGUCGAUGUUAUGCCAGCUCUUCUUUCUGACAAAUUAUUCCAAAUAUGUUCAUCUCGGCUCUACUAAGCUCCGAUCUCCUUUCUCUAAUUUCUCUUUCACCUUGUAAUUUAGGUCAGAAUAUUUUCCACUUUCAUUCCAUUGUUGUUUCAAUGUCUCUUAUCUUUCCGAGCCACGCGAGCCGUCAUCUCAUCUCUCUCUCUGUCAAAUUUUUGGGGCUUCCAUAAGGCCUGAUAUGAUCUGUUUUGCUGUAAAUAUACAUCUCUUCUUCUUCUGCUUACUAGUAUCAUAUCAUACCUAAAAUUUCAACUCAUCUAAAGCAAACAUUUGGAUCCCUCUAAAUUUUAAAUUCUUUGUAUGAAGGAGUCCACCUAUGUGAGAAGAUAGAAGUUUAGUCUAAAAGGACUCUUCAUUGAAUGCUAAUGGUAGUGGUAUUGAGUAAAGUUUCGAAUGCCUAUUAUGUUUAUGAUGGACAUCAACUUGCAAUGCAGCACUUUUAAAACCAAAUUUUGUUUCUGUGAUAUAUAAUGGUUAAGUUAAAACGUGUGGUUGCUAUGAAAAUUCAUAUGUCAAUGGAAUCAAUAUGCAUUUAUGAGUUAUAGUUCUUGUAUCCAUUUUAUAGACAGCUUUUUUCAUAAUAAAGUUACUUUAUUUAUUAGGUCAAUGCCAUCUUUAUUGCAAUGAUAUUAGUAUUGUAACAAUCUUGCUUCUGAUAAAUAUUUGGGGAAGAGUACAAGUACCAACAUCAAGGGAGCAACCACAAACAUCAACAAGAUCAAGGGGCCGAAGAGGCCAACAAUCUUUAUAAACUUUAAGCUUUGCUUUUUUGUUUUUGGUUUGUAACUUAAUUAUUGAAACUUUGGCUCGUAACUAAUUAUUUAUUUAUUUUGGGUUUGUUACUUUAUUUAUUUUAAAACCUUGGCUUGUAACUAUUAUUUUCGCUUUUGGAUUUGAUACUUAAUUCAUUUUUAUUGCAUGCAUGUGUAGUAUAAAUUGAAUAGGCAGAUGUUAUUGUGCACAGAUAGGUAGUGGGCAUAUUGGUUAUAUACUAUGAAACUAUGUCAAAUUUGUGCAUAUAUUAGUAGAAACAAGCCUUGCCAUUUGAUUGGCAGAUUAGUAGAAACAAAUUGGCAAAUUGGGCCCAAAAGCAUAAUAUGUCAAAUUGUAGUCCAAAAGCCCAAAAGCCCAA
rnacentral:lncRNA from 1 species